GGAGGCUGAGGCAGGAGAAUCGCUUGAACCCCGGGGUCGGGGGCGGAGGCGGAGGUUGCAGUGGGCCGAGAUCACGCCAUUUUCUGGGCGAGAGAGCGAGACUCCGUCUCAAAAAAAAAAAAAAAAACCAUGAAAGAAAUAAGCUCAGUGAAGGCGGGCAUUCUGCCUGGCUAACGCAGGUCGCUCCUUGCCGUGCCUGGAACAUUACUGUAAGUGCUCAGCAAACUACUUUAAGGUAGGAAUAAAAUCUGCAAGGUUGCUUUUGUUUAAAUUGGAUAACCUUUUGUGUUCCAAGUCUUUGGAGUAAUUUUGUGUUCCAAGUCUUUGGAAUAAUUGUGUCCUUAAUUAUUAUACUAGUCACUGUUAAAUUUUGAAACUCCAGUGCGUCCCAUGAAGGUAAUGAUACAAAACAUUUCCAGCUGGGAUUGUUCCAGGGAAUCCAGACUAAUCAAUUAUCUGGGCUCAUUAUAUCUAUGGAUCUUUAUUUUUCACCUCUUUCCUUAUGUUUUUCUUAAUCCUUCUAGCUGAUAGUGAUCACUCCCUUUAAAACUGUCAUUCUUAAAAUCAGAACAACAUAGUUUAUCAUUUACUUAUUAUUUUCUUCAUGUGAUUGUUCUCC
rnacentral:lncRNA from 1 species